rnacentral:tRNA from 1 species
GGCUACGUAGCUCAGUUGGUUAGAGCACAUCACUCAUAAUGAUGGGGUCACAGGAGCACAUCACUCAUAAUGAUGGGGUCACAGGUUCAAAUCCCGUCGUAGCCACCA